GGGGGUGCAAGGCCUAGACAAGUGGACCGUUUCUACUUUGGGCAGUGAAAGCUGUGGUAACUUUUAAAACUGCCACAAACGAUACGUGUAAACGCAUCAAAGAAAUCUCCCUACUUUACUGCUGGGGACUUUCAAUUCGCUUACGCUGCUUAAAACGGCCUAAGCGACAUUCCUCCUCUGAUUUCUCAUAGGAGAACCGGAAUGUCAUUAUGAGAAUCGUGCGCCUUUUUGUUUCGAGGGGCGCAUUAAAAAUAGAAGCUCGACACAAUAUAUAUCUUGCAGAAUCUUUCAGUAUAUUGGUUUAAACAAAAAGAAUCUGCUAACACUGUAGAUCUAAAUUAGUUACCCAUUUGCACGGCGGUCCGAUUCCGCCCAUCUCCACAA
rnacentral:tmRNA from 1 species